rnacentral:rRNA from 1 species
UUGGAGGGCAAGUCUGGUGCCAGCAGCCGCGGUAAUUCCAGCUCCAAUAGCGUAUAUUAAAGUUGUUGCAGUUAAAAAGCUCGUAGUUGAAUUUCGGGAUCAAUAUGUCGGUCGUGCCAUUGGUACGUACUGGUAUCAUUGAUUUCUCCUUUCUGACGAACCAUGAUGUCAUUAAUUUGGUGUUAUGGGGAGUUAGGACUGUUACUUUGAAAAAAUUAGAGUGUUUAAAGCAGGCAUUAGCUUGAAUACAUUAGCAUGGAAUAAUGAAAUAGGACGUUUGACCCUAUUUUGUUGGUUUCUAGGAUCGACGUAAUGAUUAAUAGGGAUAGUUGGGGGCAUUAGUAUUCAAUUGUCAGAGGUGAAAUUCUUGGAUUUAUUGAAGACUAACUACUGCGAAAGCAUUUGCCAAGGAUGUUUCCAUUAAUCAAGAACGAAAGUUAGGGGAUCGAAGACGAUCAGAUACCGUCGUAGUCUUAACCAUAAACUAUGCCGACUAGGGAUCGGAUGAUGUUAAUUUUUUAAUGACUCAUUCGGCGCCUUACGGGAAAC